UGGGGAAUCUUGCACAAUGGAGGAAACUCUGAUGCAGCGACGCCGCGUGAGCGAUGAAGCCCUUCGGGGUGUAAAGCCCUUUCGACGGGAACGAUAAUGACGGUACCCGGAGAAGAAGCUGCGGCUAACUACGUGCCAGCAGCCGCGGUAAUACGUAGGCAGCAAACGUUGUUCGGAAUUACUGGGCGUAAAGAGUGUGUAGGCGGUUUUGCAAGUUUGGUGUGAAAUCUCCCGGCUUAACUGGGAGGGUGCGCCGAAAACUGCAAGGCUCGAGUACUGGAGAGGAAAGCGGAAUUCCUGGUGUAGCGGUGAAAUGCGUAGAUAUCAGGAGGAACACCGGUGGUGUAGACGGCUUUCUGGACAGUCACUGACGCUGAGACACGAAAGCGUGGGGAGCAAACA
rnacentral:rRNA from 1 species